UACAGAGGUGCCGAGCGUUAGGCGGAAUCACUGGGCUUAAAGCGCGUGUAGGCGGGAGGGCACGUCCGUUGCUGAAAUCCCCCGGCUCAACCGGGGAACGGGCGCGGAUACGACUCUCCUUGAGGGGCGUAGGGGGACCUGGAACUUCCGGUGGAGCGGUGAAAUGCGUUGAGAUCGGAAGGAACGCCCGUGGCGAAAGCGAGGUCCUGGACGCCUACUGACGCUGAGACGCGAAAGCCAGGGGAGCGAACGGG
rnacentral:rRNA from 1 species